CCACAUUCAGGAUUUCCCUGUUUCUGAAAACACCAGGGAAAGCUUUUGUCCAGAUGGCCUGCAUUUUUGCUCCACCCCCAAAAUAAAGGGGAUGGUCUCCUGCCUUGCAUGAAAUGUCACCUAGUAAAGAAAAGGGCGGGGGGGGGGGGGGGAUAUUACAGAGACCAAAGCAAGGGGUGUGGCUAAAAAGUGGCUUGGCCACCUCUCCUGCCUCACCUGUCCCCAGAGGACUGAGUCUGACCCAUUUGUCCAGGGCAGGGAACAGGACAGGAGAGAGGAGGAAGCAAGAGGGUUAAGUCUGUCCAAGCCUUUCAGUGUGAUGAGACGAGGGUGGAGUGUCUGCCAAGAACAGGUCAGGUUCAAAACAGGAAACCCCAGGGUAGUGAUGGACACUUCUCUGUCGAUUUUACGUGGAUCUCUAGGGAAAGUGCUGGAACUGAUCUCAUUCAAUAUAUAUAUAUAGUUUUACAACUCAGAUUGAAGAGGAAGUGCACAAUGAGCUCUGCAGCUUUGCCAGCGAUGCUGAUCUCUUCCAGGUGCUGAAACGCUAAGAAUUUCUUACCGAGACCUUUGAAAGUAUAUUUCAGACAUCAGGACACUUCAUUCACGUUGUGGUUACACUGUGUCCCAAUAAAAGAAACGUUGACGUCCUGGCCCCUGGUACCUUGAAUGUGACCUUAGUGGUAAAUAGGGUCUUUGCAGAGGUACUCAAAAUGAAGUCAUGCUGGAUUAGAGUGGGCCCUACAUCCAAUAACUGCCAUCCUUAUAAGGGAGAGAGAGAUUUGAAGACACGGAGAGACACACAGGGAAAAAGGCUACCUGACUGUGGAGACAGAGAUUGAAGUUUAUGUUGUCACCAACCAAGGAACGCCAAGGAUUGCCAGUAACUACCAGAGGCUGGAAGAGGCAAGGAAGACUCCUCCCUAGUCCUUCAGGCAGAGCAUGGCCCCACGAGCCCUUGAUUUUGGACUUGAAUUGUGACAGACCAAAUUUCUGUGUUGCAAACUAUCCUGCUUGUGGCAAUUUAUUACCGUAGCCCUAGGAAACUAAUACAACUCCUCAAUACAGGUGUUACCUAAAUGUGGGCAUUUAAUGGGACUCACGUAUUCUCCCCAUAACCAAUAUCAUUAGCACACCUAAGAAAAUUAACAAUAAUUUUAUGAUAUCCAAUCCAUACUCAAAUAUAUCCAAUUGUUCUCAAAAUAUCUUUUAUAGAUUUUUUUUUCCUUUUUUUUUGAUCCAGGAUCCAAUCAAAGUAUCUUACACGCAUUUGAUUAUUAUGUCUCUCUAAUUUUUUUAUUCUAAAAGAAUUCAUCUUAAAAAAUGACUUCUUGAUGUGUCCAG
rnacentral:lncRNA from 10 species